UCCAGACUCAGCCUCCUCAGACAAAAAAUCCCACUCUGUUCCCAGGCCGGAGAGCCUCCUGGGCUGGAAUUGCUCAAGCCUCAGCUCACAGAUGAGUCACUGUAUUCAUUUGCUCCACACAUCUCACUCUGAGUACUGUGUGUUUCAUCUGCCUUCACUCUCACAAUUAUUAUCAACUUGCUGGCUAUAAAAGGCAGGGGCUACAAACUCAGUGAGCCAAAUGCAGUGCUUGCUUCCUAUCUGUGGUCCAUUGCAUAGCAGUGUGCUUGGGUGCUGCGUAAGACAAUUCCCCCCAACGCCUCCAAAAAAUAGGACAUGGUCCACUGCAGGAGUUCAUAAUCUAGGAGUCCAGAGAGUCCAGGCUCAUCAUCCCUUCAGAAGAAAGAAUCUUCAGGCCUCUGCUCUUGUGAGAGUAAUUUCUCUUAACACCGACAGUGCAGGAAUACAACUACCACCACCUUUCAAUUAUUGAGAGGCAAUCAUCUAAAGCAUUUGGCAAGUGAUCCACUUACGGAGCCAAGCUAAGGGAGCUGAAGAGAAGAGGCCGCCGCCCCAACCCAGGUGUUGUUAGUUAUCUAGCCUUUUGCAAAGCCUCUUCCGUUUCUACUCUGCUCUUUAAGCUAUUUCAUGCCUUGAAGAUGUCUCUACCAGGGAAAAUAAAGAGAUUCAGCUCUUCCCCCACCUCCUGCCUGUCUCCAAGACAGAGUGGGGCUGAUGACUGGAGGUGGGAAGGACUAGAGGAAGAUGCCACAAAAUUUAGCAACUGGGCCUGAAAUUCACCAUUCACACCAUCAAACUGGACUAACAGGAAAGAAGAUUAUGUAAGGGCUACUCCAUGUGCUACUUUCUCUCGCAACUUUGAGCAAGAAUGUUAGAUCUUUUGCUGGGGGCCUUCGGAAGCCGUGAGGGAGCAUAUCCUGACACCCACAUAGAAGACCUGGUACCUAUGUUUCCACAUCACAAAGCAGGCCAACAAGCACACAAGGCCGCAGACCAAAUUAAGAAUCAUCUGGAUGAGUAAGAACAGUUUGAAAGUGCCAGUGACGCUGGUACAGUCCGUCACAUCCCGGUAAACAAAGGUCCUGCUGAGCGGCUCCGAGGAGGGCAGUUUGCACUGGCAAGAGUCGA
rnacentral:lncRNA from 1 species